AGAGUUUGAUCCUGGCUCAGGACGAACGCUGGCGGCGUGCUUAAUACAUGCAAGUCGAACGAGAUCCAUUCGGUGGUAACACCGUUGAAGAUCUAGUGGCGAACGGGUGCGUAACACGUGAGCAAUCUGCCCCGAAGACCGGGAUAACAGUGGGAAACCGCUGCUAAUACCGGAUGUCCCCACCACCUCGCAUGGGGAGGUGAGGAAAUGGAUUCCGCUUCGGGAGGAGCUCGCGGCCUAUCAGCUUGUUGGUGGGGUAAUGGCCUACCAAGGCAACGACGGGUAGCUGGUCUGAGAGGACGAUCAGCCACACUGGGACUGAGACACGGCCCAGACUCCUACGGGAGGCAGCAGUAGGGAAUCUUGCGCAAUGGGCGAAAGCCUGACGCAGCAACGCCGCGUGGGGGAUGAAUGCCUUCGGGUUGUAAACUCCUUUUAGUGGGAACGAAAUUGACGGUACCCACAGAAAAAGCCCCGGCUAACUACGUGCCAGCAGCCGCGGUGAUACGUAGGGGGCGAGCGUUGUCCGGAUUCACUGGGCGUAAAGAGCUCGUAGGUGGCUUAGUAAGUCGGCGUGUUAAAUCUCCAGGCUUAACCUGGAGUCGCACCCGAUACUGCUAUAGCUAGAGUCCGGUAGGGGACCAUGGAAUUCCUGGUGUAGCGGUGAAAUGCGCAGAUAUCAGGAGGAACACCAGUAGCGAAGGCGGUGGUCUGGGCCGGUACUGACACUGAGGAGCGAAAGCGUGGGGAGCGAACAGGAUUAGAUACCCUAGUAGUCC
rnacentral:rRNA from 1 species